CGCAUCGUUUUGCUUCAUUUCAUAAGCAAGCAUUGAAUACGUAGUCAAGACAACAUCAUAUUGAGAAAGUUCGUAAGAGUCCAAGUUUUUCUUAGUGGACCCAUGAUGGAUGUAAACGGAUAAUUUUUUACUGGGGUGCACUUUAGUAGACAAUUCUUCAGCCCACUGAUGUAAGAGGGCGACAGAAACCACAAUCAGGUUUGUCUUACGAAGAGGGUCUUGGGAUUUUUGAGUAAGAAGUAAAGCAAUUGUUUGAAUGGUUUUUCCAAGGCCCAUGUCGUCGGCCAUAACCCCACCACACUUGGAGCUUUGCUCCAUGGAUUCCAUCCAAGCAUGGCCCUCGACUUGAUGUGGUAAAAGAGAAACCAAUAAACCGGCGGAUUGUACUUGCUCAUUUUUCAACUGCAGGUCGAUCGUGUCGAACGGACUGGGAGUAUUAUGCUGAAGUAAUUGAUGCAAUUCUUUUGUGACAUGUUCUGGUUGCACCUUACGCUCAUAAGGGCAAAAAGAGUUGGUACUAAUAGUCCCGGUAGGUAGGGAUGAAGAUGAUGGAGGUGGAAGAGGAGUAGGAAGACGACUCAAUUGUUUAGCGGUAAUGAAGGAGGAAGGAGGAGUCAAAUGUUCGGGAUUAUCAAGAUCAAUAGGGUGGUCACUCGAGCCUAAUACGGAAGGGAUGUCGUUAGAGACGGAAGAAGUGGUAUGUGGAAUAGAAGAAAUUGAUGGAGUAGACGAAGAAGAUGGAAUAGAAGGAAGAGAUGAUGAGUUUGAGGGAGUAGAAGUUAAGCGCGUAGGGGGACGAAAGGGAAAGUUUUUAAAAGACCAAAGACGUUUUUGCCGCCAUCGCUUGCGAGUGGAAAGGGAAGAAGAAGUAGGAUUUUUGGAAGGAGGAUGAUCAAAGGGAGGAAGAGAAUAGGAAGAGGAUUGUGAAUUUUGAAGGGACCUAGCAAAUUGUUCGUCUAGUUCAACUUGGUUUUGGGAAGAAGAUGAGGAGGGGGCAGAAGAGGGGGAAGAAGAAUUCCAUUCAUCUUGAAGACGACGGGCCAAUUCCUCGUCAUUUUGAAGUUGCUGAAAGGUGGAUUGAGGAGGAUAUGCAGACAAUGAAUCCAUGAUGAUUAAGAGCUAGGCUAUAAAAGAGACAUGAUUAGAAGGAAGAGACCAGGAAGAAUUAUUUUAAAAUCGAAUUGAGGGGGAAAAUGGAAUAUAUAGAAAGUGUAUGAAAAGUAUGCAAUGCCACUCGAAAAAAAAGUGGUAGAAAAAUUAAUUGUAAAUUAAAAAAAAAAAAAAAAAAAAAAAAAGGAAACAAAAUGAAACACUGAAAUAAUAAUGGAGACCUAUUUGGUUUAAGAAAGUGUGAUGGAUAAAUGUAAAACAAGCAUUUAUGGAAAGCACUAUGUACAAAUAAAAAAAAAACACUAGUGAGAAGUGGAUGAAAUGGGAAAACACUUGCUCUUUAAGUAUGACCUCGUUAACGUUUGUUGAAAAAAGAUAAGGAAAAUGAACGAAUUAGAACGAGGCAAUUGAUGAAAUGCGCAGAUGAGCGGUGAGAUGCAAUAUGGCGGAAUCAAACAAGUUGAUAUGUAGUAAAAGUUUAACGAUUCAAAAUCUCGAGAAUGAUAAAGAUAAUAGGAACUGAGUAUGCUAGAGAUGAAUUAAAGAAGGAUAACGAGAGUAUUGGAAUGUGCGAUAAAACAAAAAUGAAUGGAGGAGUAGGAGGAACUAGGUAAAUCAAAAAGGAAAAUGAUGGUAGGAUGUAAAGAAGAAAACCGUUUCAAAAAACGAAUCGCAAAACUAUUGAAAAGAAUAUCUAACCAAAAAUUAAAAUAAAAUAAAAUAAAAUAAAAAGCAAAAAAAAUAAAUAGAAAAAAAUUUUUGUUUUGUUCUGGUCAACCGAUGAUAUGAAUUAAGAGACACAUUUGAUAAGAUGGAAUGGAUGCUGAAACGGGUUUCCAGUAAAAAGGAUGGGAUGCACCUUCGAGAAGCAUACGUGGUCGUCGACGAGAAGGAAAAGAACGAAAAGUGUGAAGAAUUUGAAACAAGGCAAAAAUUAGAUAGAAGAGAUGAAAAGAAAAGCAAAUUUAGACAAAGGAAUUGAGUAGCCGAUCUUUAAUUGCGAAAGAGCGAUUACAGCUGCAAAAGUUGGAAAAGUAGGGCCAAAAGAGACACGUGAAAGUAAAACAGAGAAAAAGAAGAAAGGACAAGAAGGAGCGGUGGCGCGCCUCCCGAAAAAAAAUAAAUAAAAAAAAUAAAAAAAUUUAGUGAAAGAGAGAUUUGAAUGAAUGAUUCUGCUAACGAAUAUUUUGAUGAAUAAAAUUUAAGGAAUGAGGCGGGUUUAUGAUUUUGAAACGAGAGUUUUCUUGCAUGCACUUUUUCGAAUUUGCUUCCAGUGUGCUUGCAUGUGUUUGUUUUGCGCAACACAUGUGUUUGAUUGUGUGAUGCGACUAGAACUGUAAGCUCUGGAGAUGUGUUGAAGAUCUUGCUUUUCAAAAAAUUCCAACUCGCACCACUCUUCUCACUAUCGCCGAAGAUUGACAAUGGCAGGAUUAGCGUAGCAUAGCGAGCUGAAAAUCACAAGGCAAAAAAGGUGAAAGACGAGGACUAGUCGGUACGGAGUAAACUUAAUCCGACCGAGCACAGGGGAGGCAAAAUAGGAGCCGAGAGGAACACGAGGAACAAAACAAAAAAAAAAAAAAAUUUCAGUUGCGAAUAGGAAAAACACAAAAUAAAUA
rnacentral:lncRNA from 1 species